rnacentral:rRNA from 1 species
GAUGAACGCUGGCGGCGUGCUUAACACAUGCAAGUCGAACGGGAAAUAUUUCAUUGAGACUUCGGUGGAUUUGAUUUAUUUCUAGUGGCGGACGGGUGUGUAACGCGUGGGUAACCUGCCUUAUACAGGGGGAUAACAGUCAGAAAUGGCUGCUAAUACCGCAUAAGCGCACAGAGCUGCAUGGCUCAGUGUGAAAAACUCCGGUGGUAUAAGAUGGACCCGCGUUGGAUUAGCUAGUUGGUGGGGUAACGGCCCACCAAGGCGACGAUCCAUAGCCGGCCUGAGAGGGUGAACGGCCACAUUGGGACUGAGACACGGCCCAGACUCCUACGGGAGGCAGCAGUGGGGAAUAUUGCACAAUGGGGGAAACCCUGAUGCAGCGACGCCGCGUGAAGGAAGAAGUAUCUCGGUAUGUAAACUUCUAUCAGCAGGGAAGAUAGUGACGGUACCUGACUAAGAAGCCCCGGCUAACUACGUG